rnacentral:lncRNA from 1 species
UGCUGAAGCGAGUGUCGUAGUAGCAAAAAUUCUUACUUCUGCAGUGCGGAGAGCGUGGAGAGAGCGGCGGGACAGAGAGACGUGCCUAGGUGACAGCAACCUUGAAUUAACGGCGGUGAGCGCCAGGUAAGAAACCUGCUGUACUCGCAGCCUCUGCGGGGAUGCCACAAAUUCACAGCCUCUCCGGGAGCGCAGCAGAGAGCUCCG